rnacentral:rRNA from 1 species
CACUCCUGCGGGAGGCAGCAGUGGGGAAUAUUGGACAAUGGGCGCAAGCCUGAUCCAGCCAUGCCGCGUGAGUGAUGAAGGCCCUAGGGUUGUAAAGCUCUUUCACCGGUGAAGAUAAUGACGGUAACCGGAGAAGAAGCCCCGGCUAACUUCGUGCCAGCAGCCGCGGUAAUACGAAGGGGGCUAGCGUUGUUCGGAUUUACUGGGCGUAAAGCGCACGUAGGCGGACUAUUAAGUCAGGGGUGAAAUCCCGGGGCUCAACCCCGGAACUGCCUUUGAUACUGGUAGUCUUGAGUUCGAGAGAGGUGAGUGGAAUUCCGAGUGUAGAGGUGAAAUUCGUAGAUAUUCGGAGGAACACCAGUGGCGAAGGCGGCUCACUGGCUCGAUACUGACGCUGAGGUGCGAAAGCGUGGGGAGCAAACAGGAUUAGAUACCCCUGUAGUCCCAU